AUAUAUAUAUGCACAAACACACACAUAUAUAUACACAUACAGAUACAUAUGUAUAUAUACUCUGUGUGUGUGUGUGUGUGUGUGUAU